rnacentral:lncRNA from 1 species
GUUGGUUUUCUGUGUUAAAAUAUCUUAGAAGCCCAGAUGCUUUUGUGGUAUAGGUUUUUUGUUAAUUUGUUGGAUUUUGGGUUGUUUCUUUUUUUUUUUUUUUUGGUGUUUGUUUUUGGUUUGGUUUGGGUUGGGUUUUUUUGGUUUUGUUUUUUUUUUUUUUUUUUUGGUUUGGCAAGAGGACGGGCUAUGUGUCAGGUCUGCACUUCUUGUGCCUGUGAAAAUUGACCUAAAUUUGGCCAAGUCAGGAGCCUUUAAAAAAGAACCUCACUUCUUAUGUUCUGGGGAGUUGUGCUAAACUUCAACAGUAAAAUAAAAUAGUGGGUGGGAGAAUGACAGAGGCUGGAUGAGAUGAUGGUAGAGAGGGGACAUAAACAGGAAACUAGGACUGGCCUUAUGAAGGUGUUGGAUUGGCUGUGGGGGAGUAGAGAAAGAUUUGCCUAAACAGUUUGAUGUGUGUGGGGACAAAUAUAUUGGACCAACAAAACAGAAAUGACAGGAUGUAUGGGAAGUGAGAAACUGAGACUGAGCAAGAGAUGUUCCUUAUAGGACUGGAGAGAUUAACUCCUCCAUCUUCUAGGAUAAUAUAAAAAUAAGAAAGAAAUGCUGAGGUUCUAUCAUGAUGAAAAUCAUAGAAAAUUAUAGAAUAAAUUAAUAUUUUCCCUCUUCAGUUUUGGCCAGUUUACAGUGAAUAAAACUUUGGAACAUGCAAGAAAUUAGGGGGGAAAAAGGAAUUGAGCUGCUGUUGCUUUAAAAGGUGGAUAACUGACAAAUCUAUGAGAUAUCUGAAUUAUGGUUUUGUAAGUUCAUUGUGGUAAGCUCUGUAUUUCCAAAGAAGACUCAGCUUACUUAAGACUCCGAUUGCAUAAACUUGGUGCCUAAAGACAAAUGACAUCAAUCUCCUCUUGAGUGAGUGUUCUUUUUUGAACCAAAUGAGGAAGCUGGGGCCUCUGGAAAAAACAGCACCAACUCAGAUUGCAGGCAUGUGGAUGAACUGCAGGAUCAAAACCUUCCAUUCCAAUUGGAAUAAUAAGAAAAGCCAUCUCAUGUGCUCAGACAAACUUCGGUUUCAUCAGCUGCCUUCUCUUGAUCUGCAAGCAACCAGCAAACUGCAGCUUAGCCUGUUACCCUCUCAGGAGAACUAA